GGCCCCCCGCCCGCUGUGAGUGAGCCCCCCGCUGCGUGGGCGGGCUGCUGCGCUGGCCGGAAGACAGGAGCCCCUGCCAUGCGUCCCCACUCCCCUGGGCCUGCAGUUCCAACCAAAGUGGUUCUGGAGGCUGGAGGUCCGUUGUCAAGAUGUUGCCAGGAUUGGUGUCCUCUCUCCUUGGUUUACAGAUGGCCGUCUUCUCUCCAUGUCUUUGCAAAUCUUCAUUUAACAUCCAUCAUGCAUAAAAAGCUGUUAAGUGUGCUCUGAAUGGAAAUGGAUUCAAAGGCGCGUGUCACACAUGGCCUCCUCUAUCAACACGAUUUCAAAUCUUAAUUGAUAACGGAUCAGGUUCUAUGGUUAGUAUGUGACAAAUGCCAAAAUAUAAGCUAGCCCUGAAAACAGUGCCUAGAAUAUAGGAGACAGUCACCAGAUGUUUUGAGGAAAUAUUAUAUGCAUAAGAUGAUUUUUUAGCAUUUCUCUUUGGUAUCUGAAGGGGAUAAAAGGGAAGCUGGGGCCAUAGUCCAGAAAAUUUCUUCCUGGAAUUCUCCCAGUAACAACUGAGGCUUUGGGAUGAAAGAUGGGACCACACCUUCAGGGACUCUGAAGUAAACAAUUAAAGUCAGUGGCUGUAGAGCA